rnacentral:RNase_P_RNA from 1 species
GAAGCUGACCAGACAGUCGCCGCUUCGUCGUCGUCCUCCUUCGGGGGGAGACGGGCGGAGGGGAGGAAAGUCCGGGCUCCAUAGGGCAAGGUGCCAGGUAACGCCUGGGGGGUGUCACAGCCCACGACCAGUGCAACAGAGAGCAAACCGCCGAUGGCCCGCGCAAGCGGGAUCAGGUAAGGGUGAAAGGGUGCGGUAAGAGCGCACCGCGCGGCUGGUAACAGUCCGUGGCACGGUAAACUCCACCCGGAGCAAGGCCAAAUAGGGGUUCAUAAGGUACGGCCCGUACUGAACUCGGGUAGGCUGCUUGAGCCAGUGAGCGAUUGCUGGCCUAGAUGAAUGACUGUCCACGACAGAACCCGGCUUAUCGGUCAGUUUCACUC